rnacentral:sRNA from 1 species
GCUAGGCACGGUGGCCACGCCUGUCAUCCCAGCAGCUCGGAGGCUGAGGCAGGAGGAUCACGAGUUCAAAGCCAGCCUCAGCAAUUGAGCGAGGCCCUAAGCAACUCAGUGAGACCCUGUCUCUA